GACGAACGCUGGCGGCGUGCUUAACACAUGCAAGUCGAACGGUAAGGCUCCAGCUUGCUGGGGUACACGAGUGGCGAACGGGUGAGUAACACGUGGGUGACCUGCCCUGCACUUCGGGAUAAGCCUGGGAAACUGGGUCUAAUACCGGAUAGGACCGCACCGUGAGGGUGUGGUGGAAAGUUUUUUCGGUGUGGGAUGGGCCCGCGGCCUAUCAGCUUGUUGGUGGGGUAAUGGCCUACCAAGGCGGCGACGGGUAGCCGGCCUGAGAGGGUGGACGGCCACAUUGGGACUGAGACACGGCCCAGACUCCUACGGGAGGCAGCAGUGGGGAAUAUUGCACAAUGGGCGGAAGCCUGAUGCAGCGACGCCGCGUGGGGGAUGACGGCCUUCGGGUUGUAAACUCCUUUCACCAUCGACGAAGGGUUUCUGACGGUAGAUGGAGAAGAAGCACCGGCUAACUACGUGCCAGCAGCCGCGGUAAUACGUAGGGUGCGAGCGUUGUCCGGAAUUACUGGGCGUAAAGAGCUCGUAGGUGGUUUGUCGCGUCGUCUGUGAAAUUCCGGGGCUUAACUCCGGGCGUGCAGGCGAUACGGGCAUAACUUGAGUACUGUAGGGGAGACUGGAAUUCCUGGUGUAGCGGUGAAAUGCGCAGAUAUCAGGAGGAACACCGGUGGCGAAGGCGGGUCUCUGGGCAGUAACUGACGCUGAGGAGCGAAAGCAUGGGGAGCGAACAGGAUUAGAUACCCUGGUAGUCCAUGCCGUAAACGGUGGGCGCUAGGUGUGGGUUUCCUUCCACGGGAUCCGUGCCGUAGCUAACGCAUUAAGCGCCCCGCCUGGGGAGUACGGCCGCAAGGCUAAAACUCAAAGGAAUUGACGGGGGCCCGCACAAGCGGCGGAGCAUGUGGAUUAAUUCGAUGCAACGCGAAGAACCUUACCUGGGCUUGACAUAUACAGGAUCGCGCCAGAGAUGGUGUUUCCCUUGUGGCUUGUAUACAGGUGGUGCAUGGUUGUCGCCAGCUCGUGUCGUGAGAUGUUGGGUUAAGUCCCGCAACGAGCGCAACCCUUGUCUUAUGUUGCCAGCACGUUGUGGUGGGGACUCGUAAGAAACUGCCGGGGUUAACUCGGAGGAAGGUGGGGAUGACGUCAAAUCAUCAUGCCCCUUAUGUCCAGGGCUUCACACAUGCUACAAUGGUCGGUACAGUGGGUUGCCAGUCCGUGAGGGCGAGCUAAUCCCGCAAAGCCGGUCUCAGUUCGGAUCGGGGUCUGCAACUCGACCCCGUGAAGUCGGAGUCGCUAGUAAUCGCAGAUCAGCAACGCUGCGGUGAAUACGUUCCCGGGCCU
rnacentral:rRNA from 1 species